CCCCUCCCCUCCUCCACACAGUUGCCGGUAAUCAAGGAGGACACGGAAGAUUAAAAAACAUGAUGGACUCUUCGGAAGAGCUCAUUGUCUUCACUGCGUUUCUGCGCACGAAAAUGUCACCGGACAACACAAUUUUCUGAACAUAGCCAUACUGAGAAAUACAGAGAGAGUUUCAUGGAGCUGAUAGUCUUAAUCUUUGUAUGAAGUCAGUUAUUAUUAUAACAUACGUUCAUUAAUAUAAAAAAGUUACGCACUAAAGCUUUAAGACUUAAUGCUGAUCUCUGAUCACCCCCCAUUAACUAUGCACACAGUUGAUUGGAGGCCACAGCUGACGGUGUGCUUCAUCUGUAUUUAUGCCUGCUUUUGCUGCUAAAAUCAUAUUUUGUGUGAUUUCCAUUGGAGAAAAAAAAAAUAUAUAGGAAAGAAAUCACAAGUUCCUAGUUUUUAAAGGUUUUAUAAAGUACUACGGUUUUAUAUAUUCAUUUUAUGUAUGAUGUUUAUCUACCGUCAUUUCUUCUUACAUACAUGUUAUUUCAUAGAGUACAUUGUGACCAUUGUUCUCCAUCUGACAACUCUUUAUAUUUUAUUUCCUUUCCAUAUAGUGUCUUCAUCCCCUUGGAAGUGUUUGUGUUUACACAAUUGAAUCCCAGUAGAUUUAAUUGGCAUUUUUAUUACAGAUCAACAGAAAGACAAUGUAAUGUUAAAGUGAAAACAAAUCUUUCCAAUGUGAUCAACCUAUCCCAGUCUGUGUUCAGUAAAUGCACCUUUGGAUACAGUUCCAACCUAUGGUUAGAUUGAAAAGGUCUUGGUAGGUUAAGCUUCGCACAUCGGUCCGUUUCAGAAACCAGGUUUAGUGAAAGCUCUGAGUUAGUUAACCCAGAGAUGAGGGAAACUCUGGGUUUUCUGUUUCAGAAAAGGAGGUAAUCAAAGUUGAGAGAGAGGGGGAACUCCAGCCCGUUUCAGAAAGAGAGGUAACUUAUCCUCAGAAUCAGUUAUUAUAGUAACUGAGCCUGGAAAAUUAACCUGGUCGGGAGCAGGUUUUCUUUUCUCAGCCUCCUCCCUCUGACUCUUUCUUUCCUCAUUCAUUCAUUCAGUCUGUAUCAGUCUCCUCCCUCUGAAUCAGCACUCUAUCUUUCCUCAUUCGUUCAUUCAGUCUGUAUCAGUCUCCUCCCUCUGAAUCAGCACUCUAUCUUUCCUCAUUCGUUCAUUCAGUCUGUAUCAGGCACAUUUUAGUGCAGUUUAUUAUCUGCAUGAAUAAAUAAAACAGUGUUGGUUUAUUAACGGUGUUAGGCAGACUAUACGUCAGGAGAUGAUAUUGAGGCCCCGACUAUAGAUGUAUUUUCAUUUCCAGAUAACUACCUAUUUGAGCAGGAUUAUUUUUCUCCCCAGUCUAUCAGUUAUGUAGCCUACAUAAGCUUAUCCAUCCUCAUAUUCGUCACUCAUCGUGCGCUUCAUCCCAGGACAUUCUUUGUGUUACGUUUUUUUGCAGACGCCAGUGUGACUAGCUCUGAAAUGCUCUGAAACGUGUGUUAAACGUUUGUGUAGUGUUCCCUGGACAUACACUAGGCAGAGAUAUUAAAAAGGAGUUCCACAGUGUUCAGGUGAAUGACGUAAACCCUUUGAGGUAAAUGUGUAUAAUUAUAAUCCUGUUAAUGACAUGGUGCUGCAGCCUCAGGAUGGAAUUUGUAGGCCUAGGAUUUUUUUGCCAACAGGAUUGCACCUAAAUUAAAUAGAUUAUAGGUUCAGUACCAUUUCACCAGUAAUAUUAUCCUUAUACACGGUAUUAUACACUAUAUUGGAACUUAUGCAUUUACUCUUUCAGCAAUUUUCUCCCACUCAAAUUCUCUUUCUGUUGUAGCAGUUGUGUGUUUUUUUUUAAAACUAAAUACAUGUUCAAACACGCUAUAUGUGUGCAUGAGUACUUCUGCCGACCAGUCUGGUUGUUACCAUGGUGAAUCGUAGUAUCAUGGCUCCAUUCAUGCUGCUUAACUCUGAGUGAACCAUCUCAGGGUAAAUCAACUCAGAGUUCAGGGUUAGACUCAGAGUUCGUUAAACCUCCUUCCUGAAACGGACCCCUGGACACUAAAAUAUUGUCAAUGCUGUCAGCAUGUAGGAAGAUCACAAGUGAACAGCUUUUUUUAAGGAUUAACCACAAUUUCCUUAAUGGGUUGAGAUCUGGUCUCUGACUGUAAUAUCGUUGUUUUGAAGCUAUUCCUGUGUAGCGUUGGCUACGUUGUCUUGCUGGAAAACAAAUCUGCCAAGUGUCCAGCAUGUGGUUUUCUCAACAGGUUUUCUUUGUAUUCAUUCCCCCCUCCCCUCACUAGCCUGCCGCAGAGAAGCCAAAUCCUACAGGAUGAUGCUGCCACUGCCAGGCUUCACGGUGGGAAUGGUAUUUUGAUGAUGGUGUGGAUGGUGCUUAGUCUAACAGACAAAACAUCUUUUGGUUAGUUUUGGUCUCAUCAGGGGAUAGAACCUUCUUCCAACUGAGUUCAGGGUGUUUCAUGUGCCUUCUGGGAAACUGUAGUCCAGACGUCAUGUGAGUGUCAAGAGAGUAGUAUUUUCUUUACCAAUCUCCCAUAAUGCUGCAGUGGCAAAACCUCCCUCACAACUCUCCUUGCAAACUUAUUCAGUUUGUGAGCAUGCCCUGCUUAAGGAAGACCUGAGCUUCCCUUAAAUAACACAGUUUUCUAUGCUCUAAUGCUAUGAUGAUACAUCCAAUCUAAUUCAAAUGUAAUUCAAUUCAACUGUAUUUAUAGUGUCAAAUCAAAACAAGACAAAACACUUUACAAAUAGAGUAGGUCUAGACCACACCCUAUAAUUUUCAAGGACCCAACAAUUCCAGUAAUUCCCCCAAGAGCAAGCAUUUAGUGAGACUGUGGCAAGGAAAAACUCUAUGGAAGAAACCUGGGACAGACCCAGGCUCUUGGUAGGCGGUGUCUGAUGGGGCCGGUUGGGGGGGUGAUGAACAGUGGGCAAUAAUAGUCAUGAUAAAGAUAAUGAUACUAUGACUAGAAAUAGUAGUUGUAGUAGUUCACGACGUAGCAAGGCACUGCGGGGCGUUACUAGGUGUAGCAGGGCACUGCCGGUCAUGGCAGGGCGUAGCCUGGCACGGGACCACGCCGACAGCUGCAGCCAUGAUUUAUUUGCCAUCCUAAUCCAAGGAAAACUGCAGGGCGAACAAAAUCAUAAGGACUCCGGGGAAUAAGCUCCCCAGAGUUAAGUUAGUAACAAGCACUGUCAUUGGUCAUUGUGUGUCGCUCUGCACUUUACCUUCUGUCAGUAAUGCAUUUUACCAUCUAUCAUCAAUCUGGAAGGUGUGUCUGAUGUACUAUGGUUCAUGGACAGCUUUCAUGUGUGCAUUGUGCAUGCAUUUGGUGUCAGAUCAGUGAUUCUCUCAGUUGCUGGCUACUGGAUUUCACAUCCUGACACAUUCAGCCCAGCAGCCUCUCUCUCAUCACUUCUGCCAAGUAAAGCUUAGUAUCCCCUGCAUGCAGUGAAGAUCACCUUUGUGAAGCAAUUUUCUGCUGAAUGUCAGUCAGGAUUUGAGAAUAAGAGGGGAAUAUUUUGCCUACUAAUUUGACCACUUUAAAUGCUGUAUUUCAGCUACGAAGGCCUACCACCUAGAUGUUUUUGUUUCUCGUAGAGUUUUUCUUCCAUCCAUCCAUGAAUUUUGCAUUUUCAAUCAUCCUUUUUAUGGAGGUAUUGGACUGUUGCUUUGUCUUCAUGGUGUCGCCACGACACUGAGUCACCAAAAGUUGGUCCCUCCAAUCAAUUGAAACCCCUGGAUUACACACUGGUGAUGUCAGUUUUACUAAACUGGCUGCACCAGUGAUGAUUUUGCAGUGUCGUAUUAAGGGUGAAAUAUUAUGCAAACAUCUAUAUUUUAUUCAUGUAGAUCAUUUUGUAACAGAUCUGUUUUCACUUUGACACUAAA